rnacentral:rRNA from 1 species
GAUGAACGCUGGCGGCGUGCCUAAUACAUGCAAGUCGAACGCUGAAGGAAGGAGCUUGCUCUUUCCGGAUGAGUUGCGAACGGGUGAGUAACGCGUAGGUAACCUGCCUGGUAGCGGGGGAUAACUAUUGGAAACGAUAGCUAAUACCGCAUAACAGUAGAUGUUGCAUGAUAUCUACUUAAAAGGUGCAAUUGCACCACUACCAGAUGGACCUGCGUUGUAUUAGCUAGUUGGUGAGGUAACGGCUCACCAAGGCGACGAUACAUAGCCGACCUGAGAGGGUGAUCGGCCACACUGGGACUGAGACACGGCCCAGACUCCUACGGGAGGCAGCAGUAGGGAAUCUUCGGCAAUGGACGGAAGUCUGACCGAGCAACGCCGCGUGAGUGAAGAAGGUUGUCGGAUCGUAAAGCUCUGUUGUAAGAGAAGAACGAGUGUGAGAGUGGAAAGUUCACACUGUGACGGUAGCUUACCAGAAAGGGACGGCUAACUACGUG